rnacentral:rRNA from 1 species
GACGAACGCUGGCGGCGUGCUUAACACAUGCAAGUCGAACGGAAAGGCCCUGCUUUCGUGGGGUGCUCGAGUGGCGAACGGGUGAGUAACACGUGAGUAACCUGCCCUUGACUUUGGGAUAACUUCAGGAAACUGGGGCUAAUACCGGAUAGGAGCUCCUGCUGCAUGGUGGGGGUUGGAAAGUUUCGGCGGUUGGGGAUGGACUCGCGGCUUAUCAGCUUGUUGGUGGGGUAGUGGCUUACCAAGGCUUUGACGGGUAGCCGGCCUGAGAGGGUGACCGGCCACAUUGGAACUGAGAUACGGCCCAGACUCCUACGGGAGGCAGCAGUGGGGAAUAUUGCACAAUGGGCGGAAGCCUGAUGCAGCAACGCCGCGUGCGGGAUGACGGCCUUCGGGUUGUAAACCGCUUUCGCCUGUGACGAAGCGUGAGUGACGGUAAUGGGUAAAGAAGCACCGGCUAACUACGUG